AUUUCCUGAGAAAGAGUGUUGGAGUGUUCUGUAGCCAGAGUCCCUAUCACCAGUCAGAUUCCUGACAAAAUGGCCAGUGGUAGUUCUGUGUAGGUGUGUGGAUGCACAUGUCAUGUAUGGAUUUCACUUAGAUAGUCUACUACAUCUGUUUUGGCAUGAGCUCAAUCUCCUUAUCUUGUUCAGCUGGAGCCAGAGGUGCUUUGUUUCCAGCUGCAGAAGCUGUUAGAGACAUUGUGGUGAGUGAAUGAAUUGUCCUUCCUAAUGGAACAUUCGGCUCUUUUUCUUUGCUACUACUAAGCCAUAAAUAAUGGUUAGUGUUCAUUAGAACAAGUGGAGUCCUUUUACUUUUUUUACAUGUCCAUUUUAGCAUUUUUUCCAAUGUUAAUAUAAAUAAGUCGGGCAAACUUUGAAAAUAUUAUAGAUGUGUCCACUUCCUGGUCAGUGUGGUUUCUCCACACUAGCAACACAAGUUUUAUGUUAUCUAGUUGAGCAUGACUCCCGAGGUGGAAAUCCUAAUUUGUCAAGUGUUCAUUCCUACAUGUAUCCUGCAUGAACUGCACUUUUUACUAAGCUGACACUGCAGGAAAUUGAACGACUUGGGUCAUUUGAUUUCAGAACUAGGUAUAACUCCUCUUCCCUGAGUUCAGGGCUUGAAUUUGGUCCAAGUUGAUACCUGUGGUUGUGACCUAAAGAAGAAAAUUGAGGAUCUUUCUGGAAAAAAAAAAGAAAGAAACGAAAGGACAGGCAGUAAAACUGACGUGUAGCUGUCACUGUAUUUUUAAGUGGUGUCUUAUAGCAAAUGUGUAUCGCCUUCGAAAAAAAACAUUUCUUCUGGAAGAAAGUUUGACAUUUCUGGAAAUACUGCAUUGCUAAUGUCUUGGAGAAUGCUUUCUCACUCUCAUUGCUGUGUCUUAUUUAUUAACUUCUCUCAUUUCAGUAUUUUACAAUGACUGCACUAUGUCAGUAUAUAAUCUUUAGCUGAAAAAGCUUUUAGAUAUUCUUAAGUAAUGUCUUAAGUAAUCAAAUUACUAGCAUAAGAGGUAUUUGAAAAAAAAUUCCCUUCUCUUGAAAAAAAAACAUUUUGUAAUGAAAGCAAUGACAGCCAUGAGCAGACACUGUUGUUUGUUCAGAGCUCCAGCAACUUCAUCAUUUCUGUCAUCCCUCCCAGGUAUAUUGCCUUGCACUUGACAAACAUGUGCAGCUGUUCUGAGACACCUUGCUUAAAACAGAAGAGGGGAAAAAGAGUUGAAGAACAAGAUGGGAACAUCUAAUGGGAAAAUGGAAAUGGCUAAAAAAAAAAAUCCUAUUUAUUUAUUUAUUUAUUUAUUUAUUUAUUUAAAUUCCACCUCAAUAUUAUCAAAAUAUUUCUGGGAAAUAAACUUUGCCAAGUGCUUUGUUGAAGAAUCUCCUGGAAACUUGCUCCUGUUUCCUCUAGCACAUCCAUUUCCACUGCAGCCCACCAUAAAAAGUGACAAGAUUGGUCAGACAGGACCUGCCCAUUGUGAAGCCAUGCUGGUUACCUCAGAUCACCUCCUUGUCUUCCGUGUGCCCUAGCAUAGCUUCCAGAAUGAUCUGUUCCAUGAUUUUCCCCGACGCAGAGAUGAGGCUGAAAGAAAUGCUGAAAGGCUGUGUUGGCUUAGUGAGACUUACCCAGAAAAAUUACAUGUGGCAUCUCGUAUUGUUCAUGUGUUUCAUUUCCUCUGUGAUCAGAAACAGAAGUUGAAAGGUGACUCUUAUGUUUCACAAGAACACAGUUGCAAGUCCUCAGUUCUGUUCAUGCCAGAUCACUCCUCCUCUGAAGAAAUAAAACCGUGAAGACAGCUGCAGCAUCUUUUUACACAAUGAAAAGCCUUGCAUUUGUC